rnacentral:rRNA from 1 species
UUUAAAUUGAGAGUUUGAUCCUGGCUCAGGAUGAACGCUGGUGGCGUGCCUAAUACAUGCAAGUCGUACGCUAGCCGCUGAAUUGAUCCUUCGGGUGAAGUGAGGCAAUGACUAGAGUGGCGAACUGGUGAGUAACACGUAAGAAACCUGCCCUUUAGUGGGGGAUAACAUUUGGAAACAGAUGCUAAUACCGCG